rnacentral:pre_miRNA from 1 species
AUCUGGCGGUGAGGGUGAUGAUGGUGGUGGUGAUGAUGAUGGGAGGAUGCUGGUGGUGGUAAGUAGGGGGCAUCAUCAUCAUCAUCAUCAUCAUCAUCAUCAUCAUCAUCA